CCCCACUUUUGUUUCAACUCUAUUCUAUACUCCCCCAUUUUUUUCCCUAUUUUUUUAUUUCCCCACACUUUUUUUACCCAUUUCUACUUUUUCCACUUUCUCCCCACUUUUCACUUUUCUUCCCAUUUUUUCCCCACCUUUCUAAAAAUCGAAAAAUCGACGAAAAGAUAAGGCUAACCCCUGAACUUUUUGUCCUUUUUUAUUUUUUACUUUGUGAAAAAGAGGCAAAUAAAGGUAAAGGCUGACCCCACCCUUAAUUUUCGAGCCCUGGAAAUACUUUAUGUAAAAUAAUAUAUUGUGUACUGUUCUUAUAUGUACCGUCAUUUGCAUCUUAUAAGCAUGAACACUCGCAG